rnacentral:rRNA from 1 species
GACGAACGCUGGCGGCGUGCUUAACACAUGCAAGUCGAACGGUGAAGCGCCUUCCUUUUUGGUGGGUGUGGAUGAGUGGCGAACGGGUGAGUAACACGUGAGUAACCUGCCCCCUUCUUCUGGAUAACCGCAUGAAAGUGUGGCUAAUACGGGACAUUCUGGGUCUGUCGCAUGAUGGGUCUGGGAAAGAUAUUGUUUCGGUGGGGGAUGGGCUCGCGGCCUAUCAGCUUGUUGGUGGGGUGAUGGCCUACCAAGGCGGUGACGGGUAGCCGGCCUGAGAGGGUGGACGGUCACACUGGGACUGAGACACGGCCCAGACUCCUACGGGAGGCAGCAGUGGGGAAUAUUGCACAAUGGGCGCAAGCCUGAUGCAGCGACGCCGCGUGAGGGAUGGAGGCCUUCGGGUUGUGAACCUCUUUCGCCAGUGAAGCAGGCCUGCCUCGUUUGUGGGUGGGUUGACGGUAGCUGGAUAAGAAGCGCCGGCUAACUACGUG